CAAAUUAUAUAUUUGCUCUCGGACGGCCAAAAGCCGUUUUUACAAUGACCCCGUCGCAAAGCAUGCAAACAGCUAACGCCGUUGUACAAUUUAAGCGGCUUUGUUCUCUGCAGUGGUGCGCGUUGCAGUCGAAAAAUGACAGUUGUACGAGGUGGUUCGUUAAAUGUACGAGUUUAUUCAGUGUUUUAUUUUUUUGCGAAUUUGCGGUAAUCGGUUCAAUAAUUUAAAGUGUGAAAAUUGGAUUAAGAAAAAUUCUAAAUAAAAAUAUUAAAAAAAUCUAAAUUAAAAAGCUAAAAUAUUGAAUAAAGUUUUGAAUAGAUAAAAGUGCUUUGCCCGAAAAUCGAAGAAAUAUAUACAGUUUUUUCAAUAAAAUAACUGUAAAUUAUAUAUGUACCUAUGCAUAAUUUUUUUGCUGUGUGCAAAUACAAAUAAGAAGGUAUAAAAGUAAUAAAUUAAUAAAAAAGCAUAUAGCGAAUAAUUAUAAAAUAAACGACUUGCCUUUCUUUAUAAUGAAAAGUUAAAAAGAAUUCUUAUAAGAAUUUUCUAAAGUUGUGCAAAAUAUGAAAACAGCAAUAAAAAAGUUUUGCUUCUUUUUUUUAUGUGUGAGAGCCAGACAUUGAAAUCCUGUUUUUGUGUACAACAAAAACAAUAAUAAAUAAUAAUAGCAACAACAAGAACGACACAACAAAACAUAAAUAUACAAACAAAAAUAAAAGAAAACGAAAAAAAUAUGUAUUUUCCUUUCAUCCUGUAAAAGUUUAUAUGAAAGUUGGUGCGUGUGUGUAUACAAAUUAAGAGAAAAGUGCAGUUAAUAUUUUGGAAAAGAGAGCAAAUUAACUACAGUGAAUUAUUAAAGAAUAUUAAAUUGAAAAUUUAAAGAAAAGUAAACAAUAAAUAAAAUAAUAAUAACGCAUUGCAAAAGAAUUGCGUAUUAUGAAAAUAAAAAUUGUGCAAAAAAACAAUUAAAAUUUUGUAUAACAUUUUUUUGGCACUCUCCCUUUUCUCUCCACAAUUGUCUACUCCUUAUUUAACAGGGUUGUUUUUGUUGUUAAUAAACAAAAGAUAAUAAAACCCAACAUAGACAACAACAACCAACAAAUAAGAAUAAUAAAAGAAAUAACAACAACAACAACAACAAAUAAUAAUAUCUAACAAGCAUUUUGCUGUGCAAGAAAGGAAAAAAACCAACAACUAAACUAAAAGUUGUAUUGUUUUUGUUGUGUUUUUAGUAGACAGUGAGUAGAAAAGAAGCCUCCCCUUUCUUUUGAUAUUUGUGUUGUCCCUGUCAAAUCCAUAAAUAAACUCACGCAACAACACUAGGAUUCCUCACCUUUUAUGUUUUGUACAAAUUUGCCGCCUGGAAUUUUGAAAUGCGCGUAAUUUACUCUCCUUGCUGCAACAACGACAACAACAACAACAACAACAAGAACAAACAUCAGGGAGGAAACGCUUAAUUACUUUUUAUUUUACUUCAAACAACUGAAUACGUAAACUUAAUCAUCAUCCACAACGUAAUCAUCAUUGGCUAUUGUUAUCCUGGUUCUGAGUUUAAACUUUUUCAUGGUUUCAUCUUUUAUGGAUUAUUCAAAAAUACGAAAAAAUACACUUUACUUUAUACAGUGUUUUUUUUUUUGUUGCCUUCUGUUAAGUACAUAUUUGACAGCAACUGUCAAAAAGUGCAUAUCGAAUAAAACAAACUACCAACAACUUGCAAUUUAAAACUUCAAUUUUCAAAAUAAAACGACUUUGAAAAAAGCUAAGAAAAACAAAACUCUUUUACAAAAAUGUCUCGUCAAUUUAUAUAUAGAUUUUACUAUAAUCAAACGACUUAAGAAGUUUACACAAAUUAAACUUCUAGAAUAAAUUAAGAAAAUAAAAAUUAAAAUAAGAAAAUAAAAAAGAAACGUCAAAAGAAUAAAAUCAACAGCCAAGUAUUAUUUGGUCAAUUUGUAAAAAUCUACUUUUACAUAUUGUUUUUAUUUAAAAUUUUUUAUUUUUCGUUAAAAAGAAAACUCAACUCUGCAAUAAUUUUUUUUUGGAAAAUCAUAGACUGUUACAUUGCAAAACUAAUUAAUGUCAAUUAAAAAUUAUUAACAAAAAAA